AUAUAUCAACCUCCUCAACUUGUGUUGAGUGUUGGAUGUGGGGGUUCUUUCUUUGCUGGCUUCACGGUCAGCUCCCCUGAAAUGCAUUAGCGGAACAACCUGUUCACUGUUCAUUGGCGUGAUAACUAUCUACGCUGCUUGUUGACAGUGAAGCAAGUUCAGCUUCUAACAGUCCAUUAAAUUGGACAAAUUUUUAUUA
rnacentral:misc_RNA from 2 species